GCCAUGGAAAAGAAAUCUUCUUUUUGAUCUACCCUGCUGUGUAGGAGUGCCGUGUAGUCACAGAGUACCUUCACCAGUUGGCUUCUGCUGGAUAUUAAUCUACUGAAACACCAUCUCGGAUCAGCCAUGUCUGAAGUUUACUGAUUUUUCUCUGGUAGAUGUAUGGAUAUUGAUCAGUUUCCACAGAAAUAAACAGAGAAAAAAAAGGAGGCAUUACUUUCAUAGUGACCUACAUAUACCAUGAUUCACAAGCAGGGAAGGAGAAGUUUAUUACAGUUUGAAGCAUAAAGAGAAAUUCAAUUUAAAAAAGUCAUGAUCAGAAUCCUAAGGAUGAAUUUGAAAACAACAAAAGAUGUUCUGGGGCAAAACUCUGGGACAGGAAAUAGCUGAGCCUGUCUGACACCGCUGCAGCAUUAGACUCGCUGGAACAGCUGGGGCUCAUUACUUCAUUGGGUGGAGGAAUGGAGAGGAGGGAGAGCUGGAUAUUUUUCUAUUCGCUUUCCUGUGUGUAACACACGUUUCUGCACGGAUAUUCAGCAACAGUCAUUGAUGAUCGCAUUAGCAGUAAUGUCUCUUGAUGUUUGCAGUCCCUCUUAAGGAGGACAGGAAGUGAAAUACUUUCCAGCCAUUCUGGCAUUUUCUGUCCGAGAGGAGCCGAUAAGCAGGUGCCCGCAGAAGAACAGGAGAACAGACCAGUUCUGGAAUAAUUCUUCCCUUGGUACAUUCUUCCUCAACAGUUCUGCUGACC